rnacentral:ncRNA from 1 species
CUGCACAUACGCAAUGCAGAGUACGGUCUGACGUGAGUGUGAGCUUGCGUUAUCUCUCUUGAAUUGCUGGAAUACCCUAGAACCCAAUAAACUACAGCGAAAGUUUAAAAGCUAUGCGCGACAGUCAAAAAUUAUUGGGACUGAACACUAGAUGUAAUUUUCUAGAUAGUUCUUAGUCAGGGGGCAAUCAGCAGCGAAGUGCCUAAGUAUCGAUGUGAAUCGAGAUAGGGUGAACGUUCAACGACUAUCCCCUUAUCAGGGAGUACGAGCCGAGUGGCUUGGAAGCAGGAGACGCCCCUUUAGUAGCGAUAUUAAAGACGGGUGAAGAUAUAGUCUGGUCUAGCCAUGAAUUA